GGGAUCUUCCGUCCCUGCUGGGGUCGCUGUAACUGCUAUUCCAACUACACAGGAGAAGGCAGAGGCCUCCACGUCUUUCCUGGUUCACUUCUACUCAUCCUUUGGUCUCAGCUUACCUUCUGGGACACUUGCCCUGCCCCCUACGCCGAAUGGACACCCCAUCCCUACAGAUGCCAGUGCAGGAGCCUGUGUUUGCUGAGGGACUGAGAGGUCGAUCUAUGGACCCUCAUACUCAGACACCUAUUAGUCUAGGUGAGAUACCUGGAGCUGCAGUAGCCUUCUUGUAACCAUGAGGCAGAAAGCAUGUCAAAAGCAUCCUAUCAAAGAUGGUAGACCAGCCAGAUUCAUAGACCCUGGGUUGAUGAUGUAAUUGAACCACUCCCCUAACCUGGAGACCACCUACCAGUGACCUUUUUGCCAUGGCCAGGCAGGGACUGACCUGCCCAGAAGCAGUUGUAUCCAAAGGACAGCAUGCGGCAUCACGCUGGCUUUGGGUUUUUUCAUCAACUGGAUACAAGAGGCAUUUCUGACCCCACUCCAGUGACAGAAGACUCCUGUGUUUAGUUGCUUCACUUCUGGAUCACUUAAUUUUAUGAGGGAGUAGAACAGUCUCGUGCAUCACACGGUCAUGUCAGGGUCAACAAUGGACCACACAUGCAACACUGCUCCCUUGAGGUUAUCAUGGAGGCUGGGCGUGGUGGUUCACGCCUGUAAUCCCAGCUUCUCAGGAGGUAGAGGUAGGAGGAGCAAGGUCUGAAGGCCACUAGGCAAAGGCAAAAAUCUGAAAAAUAACUAAAGCAAGGGGCUGGGAGCCCCUGCAAGGGGCAGGUGGAGCACCUGCCUAGCAAGCAGGGAAAGAGUCACAUGGCGUACAGGGCUACCUUGGAGCAGGAAGCUGUGGCACAGAGCCGGAUGCAAGGAGCCCUCCAGCUGACCGUGAUGUUGGAACAGUUAAGAA